rnacentral:rRNA from 1 species
UACGGAGGGGGCGAGCGUUGUCCGAAUUUAUUGGGCGUAAAGCGCGUGUAGGCGGACCAUCAAGCCUGAGGUGAAAGGUUGGGGCUCAACCCCAUACAGUGCCUUGGGGACUGUUGGUCUGGAGGCAGGCAGAGGUAUGUGGAAUUCCUGGUGUAGCGGUGGAAUGCGUAGAGAUCAGGAAGAACACCCAUGGCGAAGGCAGCUUGCUGGGACGUUACUGACGCUAAGGCGCGAAAGCGUGGGGAGCGAACAGG